UUCCGGUUGAUCCCGCCGGAGGCCACUGCUAUUGGGAUCCGACUAAGCCAUGCGAGUCGAGAGGGUUCGGCCCUCGGCAGACUGCUCAGUAACACGUGGAUAACCUAACCUUAGGUGGAAGAUAACCUCGGGAAACUGAGAAUAAUAUUCCAUAGAUCUAGGAUGCUGGAAUGCAUCUAGAUUGAAAGUUCCGACGCCUAAGGAUGGGUCUGCGGACUAUCAGGUUGUAGUCAGGGUAAAGACCUGACUAGCCUACGACGGAUAUGGGUUGUGAGAGCAAUAGCCCAGAGACGAUAUCUGAGACACGAUAUCGGGCCCUACGGGGCGCAGCAGGUGCGAAAUCUUCACAAUGUGCGAAAGCACGAUGAGGGGAUCCCAAGUGCUGGCACGUAAGUGUCAGCUGUUUCUUAGUCUAAAAAACUGAGAGAGUAAGGGCUGGGUAAGACGGGUGCCAGCCGCCGCGGUAAUACCUGCAGCUCAAGUGGUGGCCGCUAUUAUUGGGCCUAAAACGUCCGUAGCCUGUUUAGUAAAUGCUUGGGUAAAUUGUGUAGCUUAACUAUACGAGUACCGGGUAGACUGCUAAACUUGGGACCGGGAGAGGCUAGAGGUACUCCUGGGGUAGAGGUGAAAUUCUGUAAUCCUAGGGGGACCACCAGUGGCGAAGGCGUCUAGCUAGAACGGGUCUGACGGUGAGGGACGAAGCCCUGGGGCGCAAACCGGAUUAGAUACCCGGGUAGUCCAGGGUGUAAACGCUGCUUGCUUGAUGUUAGUUGGGCUCCGAGCCCAACUAGUGUCGGAGAGAAGUUGUUAAGCAAGCUGCCUGGGAAGUACGGUCGCAAGACUGAAACUUAAAGGAAUUGGCGGGGGAGCACAGCAACGGGUGGAGCGUGCGGUUUAAUUGGAUUCAACGCCGGGAAUCACUAGUGCGGCCGCCUGCAGGUCGACCAUAU
rnacentral:rRNA from 1 species